rnacentral:lncRNA from 1 species
CACACGAUCUAUGACAACAUAAUAAUUUUCUUCAAAAUUAAAAGAUGCAGGUGAUGUGUUAUUGCAUAUAUAUUCAUUCUGUACUUUCAUCAAUCCGUUAUUUAUAAAAAGAUGACCAUCAAUUGCGAAGCUCAUCAGCAUUGGUACUAUGAGAACUAUUUUAAGCAGUGAUGAAAAUUUUGCAGUUCGAUAUUGUAAUGGAAACCGAGUUUUUACAAAUCUCUCAACAGUUAUUGACACUAGUAUCCAAGACGAAACAUGCAUAGAAAAAUAUAUCAUAAAGACAUCUAGUCUACAACCGACGUCAGAAAUGGUCCGAAUGUCGAAAUCGAACGUUGCUAGAAUCCAUCGUCUCACUAAUCCAGUUAUAAGUACGGUAGUGUCCGAUAAAGAAAGAAUAAAAAGGAAAUUGUAGGUUAUAUUUUUCCAUUGUUUCAUCCGACAUAAAACAAUAAUAAUUCCAAUGUUUCCAAAAACUCCAACAAUAAAGAUUAUUGGUGAUAUUAUUCUCCAAAUCCAUUGUGUAAUUUCCUCUAACUGUACUGCUUUUGUAUCAAAUCGCAUAUCAGUUAUGUUGUCAUAAUUAUUUAAAUUAGUUAUAUUAACAUAAUUGGACGAUGUGAAUGAGCACUCUGUGUAUGAAUCAAUUGUGUCUAUAGUACUGCUUCCACCUGUUUGAACACCGACAACCAUUAGAUGUGUUUUUCUUUACCACCAUAACAAGCGUCUAACAAAAUAUAAGUCAUAUAAUGCUUUCUAAUAACAAAACGUAAAGCAAGUUUAAUAGGGUGUAUAUAUGCAAGGUAGUAUUUUGUACAUUGCUCGUCACUAGAAUUCUUUUCUUUUUAUACAUAAUAAUUGUUCACCUCUACACGGUUCACAAUCUCUAUACUUCCUCUUUAGAUAAUCAAAACUGUUGAAAUACCAAACACGGCUAUCAAAUCUGUUAAUAUUCAAUUUGCGCCUUUUUGCAAGUGAUUAAUUCCUUGAAUGAUAC